ensembl:miRNA Mir7004 microRNA 7004
UGACGUUCCGUGGAUGAGGCCUGUGCCGUGACUCUCAGUGACACCUACUCCCUCCUUCACGCAG